rnacentral:rRNA from 1 species
UGGGGAAUCUUGCACAAUGGGGGCAACCCUGAUGCAGCCAUGCCGCGUGCGCGACGACGGUCUUCGGAUUGUAAAGCGCUUUUGGCSGGGRCGACGAUGACGGUACCCGCAGAAGAAGUCACGGCUAACUUCGUG